rnacentral:rRNA from 1 species
AAUGGACGAAAGUCUGACGGAGCAACGCCGCGUGAGUGAUGAAGGAUUUCGGUUCGUAAAGCUCUGUUGUUAGGGAAGAAAAGUACCGUUGAAUAGGCGGUACCUUGACGGUACCUAACCAGAAAGCCACGGCUAACUACGUGCCAGCAGCCGCGGUAAUACGUAGGUGGCAAGCGUUGUCCGGAAUUAUUGGGCGUAAAGCGCGCGCAGGCGGUCUUUUAAGUCUGAUGUGAAAGCCCACGGCUCAACCGUGGAGGGCAUUGGAAACUGGGAGACUUGAGUGCAGAAGAGGAGAGUGGAAUUCCACGUGUAGCGGUGAAAUGCGUAGAUAUGUGGAGGAACACCAGUGGCGAAGGCGACUCUCUGGUCUGUAACUGACGCUGAGGCGCGAAAGCGUGGGGAGCAAACAGGAUU